ACAUCAGUUAGAAAGUUGAAUUAGAUACAAAUUGUGUAAUACACGUAGGCUAAAUGCACUGAAAUCAAAUAAAUAAAUGGCAAAUUCUUAAUCUGUAUUUAUAUGAAUUUAUUACUGAACAAUUUGAAUAUUUCAACAAUAAAAAACGCAGCACUGUCCACUUUUCAGAAAUGUAGUCGUUUUCAAGGUAACGCUUUAUGCUGAGGCCCGUUUGUGCACUAAUUGUUUGAUUGGUAUCACGGUUCAUUUAACAGUUGCGGUAACACUAGCUGUACUUGAAAGAUCAUUACCGAUAGUCGUUAACAAACAACAUGACAAGUGUGAUGACAAAAGGAUUGCAUAGCUAGUGUUGCGAUUCCCCGAUUCAUCUAUGUCUGCGUCGUUAAAUAAAACAUUUCUUUCUUUCUUUCUAUAGUUCGUUCCGCCUAAAUAAUUAAUCCGAAGGUUAUAAUAACCAACUGCGCAAGCGCAGCAAUUGUUAGUCCUGUUUGGCGGUUUGCCAUAAGGCCAAAUAAAAAAAGAGUUGGUGAUCGUCCCCGCCCGUACCU